rnacentral:misc_RNA from 1 species
GAGUGGUGAUUGACGUGCAUGGGUAUGUUGGAUCCCUGCUUGGGCAGCGACAACGUACCUUGCUCGCCUCUUCAGUUGUUGGCAUAGGCGAUGAGCCUUUUCCAGGAGAAGCUUUCCUGUGCUAUAUACCCCAUUAAAGGGGCAUCGAAUUUGUUCAAUUGCAUCAGUUCGCUUCUCGUUGCGUCCCCUCGGAUUUUGACACGCAGUGAACUUUAAAGCAUUGAUUGUGUUCCACUUUCCUUGCAUGCACGUUGCACGUGCUUGGGUUGUUGGGCCAUGGUCCUUGCUCGAUCUCUCGGUUGCGGAAUACCUUUUGGGCAUGAGGCGUCAGUCUCUAUUCGGCCCUUAUCGAGCGUUUAACGCUACUUGCGAACGACAGCUGUGGCCGUCUUGACUAAGGUCUUUAUGGCUUUUUGCUCAUACGGUCGCAACGUCGAUGAGGAAUGCUACCUGGUUGAUCCUGCCAGUAGUCAUAUGCUUGUCUCAAAGAUUAA